rnacentral:pre_miRNA from 1 species
UCUUACGGAUGAACAAAGAAAGUGUUUUCUUGAGAUGGAAUCUGCUUCUGGUGAAGAUGCUAUGCA